UAAAGCAUGGAAGGCUUUAAGUUGUACUAUUGAGACCAUACCACCAUAUCUUGAUUUAGUUUCUUUGGAAAUCUAAAGGUCUAAGAGGAUGGUACAUGUGAGAAGCUGUGAAUCCACAACAAAAAUCUAAACUAACUUCCAAACAAACAUUUCAAGUUUGGAAGCCACAAAGAAGCAGCCCAAAUUUCUCGUUGUAGUGCAGGUUCAAGAAAAUGGGCUGAAUGACCAUCAUAGCAACAUGUAGAAGCAGCAAAAAUAUAGGCUUGGUGUGUAACUGAUCAUGAAAGAUAGCUUGGUCAGUUUCUCCAUUGUUGGCUUAUAUUGAGCAAGAACAUCAGCCUGCAGAGAAGAAAAAUGGAGGACUGCUUUAUUCUGCGGUACAUCCACAAUAGUAUAGCAAAUAAAGUAGUUAAAUGUGCGCUAAGAUGUAAGACCUUUUAGAUCACUAUUUUAGUGAUCUAAAAGGUCUUGUAUUAGUUUGAAGAGGGAGCACUUAAUAAGACUGUAGGCCAGUACAUCAAAGUAAUGCCGGCUUCCCAUUGAUUUGAUCAAACCAAUAUGACAAAGGGAAGGUGAAACUUCAGAAAACCAUAUAAAUUGACCACAAUGUCUUAAUUUAAAACUCUGAAAUGAAGUAAUAAACAUUAAGUCUGAAUGUUGUCACUAAAAAAGCAUAAAAAAGGCAGACCAGCCAGGAGUGCAUCAUAACCAGUGGUUCAUCAUGCGCAAACCAGGCAGCAGUAGCCUAAUAACUUAGACAGAAAAAAUGUAAGAAGUCAAAGCACAAGGUGGGAAAUAGGAC
rnacentral:lncRNA from 1 species